rnacentral:rRNA from 1 species
UACGUAGGGGGCAAGCGUUGUCCGGAUUUAUUGGGCGUAAAGAGCGUGUAGGCGGCUUGGUAGGUCUCGCGUCAAAACCUGAGGCUCAACCUCAGUUCGCGUGGGAAACCACCUAGCUAGAGUCCGGAAGAGGAGAGCGGAAUUCCCAGUGUAGCGGUGAAAUGCGCAGAUAUUGGGAAGAACACCAGUGGCGAAGGCGGUUCUCUGGGACGGUACUGACGCUGAGACGCGAAAGCGUGGGGAGCGAACAGG